GAAAUGCGAUAAGUAAUGUGAAUUGCAGAAUCCAGUGAAUCAUCGAAUCUUUGAACGCACAUUGCGCCCGCCAGCAUUCUGGCGGGCAUGCCUGUUCGAGCGUCAUUUCAACCCUCGACCUCCCCUUGGGGAGGUCGGCGUUGGGGACCGGCAGCACACCGCCGGCCCUGAAAUGGAGUGGCGGCCCGUCCGCGGCGACCUCUGCGUAGUAAUACAGCUCGCACCGGAACCCCGACGCGGCCACGCCGUAAAACACCCAACUUCUGAACGUUGACCUCGAAUCAGGUAGGACUACCCGCUGAACUUAA
rnacentral:misc_RNA from 1 species